rfam:Aedes aegypti strain Liverpool supercont1.210 genomic scaffold, whole genome shotgun sequence.
GGCUCGGUAGCUUAGUUGGUAAAGCGCUCGUUUAGCAUACAAGAGUCCUGGGUUCGAAUCCCAGCCGAGCAC